UACUCCUACGGGAGGCAGCAGUGGGGAAUUUUGGACAAUGGGCGAAAGCCUGAUCCAGCAAUGCCGCGUGUGUGAAGAAGGCCUUCGGGUUGUAAAGCACUUUUGUCCGGAAAGAAAUGGCUCUGGUUAAUACCCGGAGUCGAUGACGGUACCGGAAGAAUAAGGACCGGCUAACUACGUGCCAGCAGCCGCGGUAAUACGUAGGGUCCAAGCGUUAAUCGGAAUUACUGGGCGUAAAGCGUGCGCAGGCGGUUGUGCAAGACCGAUGUGAAAUCCCCGGGCUUAACCUGGGAAUUGCAUUGGUGACUGCACGGCUAGAGUGUGUCAGAGGGAGGUAGAAUUCCACGUGUAGCAGUGAAAUGCGUAGAGAUGUGGAGGAAUACCGAUGGCGAAGGCAGCCUCCUGGGAUAACACUGACGCUCAUGCACGAAAGCGUGGGGAGCAAACAGGAUUAGAUACCCUGGUAGUCCACGCCCUAAACGAUGUCAACUAGUUGUUGGGGAUUCAUUUCCUUAGUAACGUAGCUAACGCGUGAAGUUGACCGCCUGGGGAGUACGGUCGCAAGAUUAAAACUCAAAGGAAUUGACGGA
rnacentral:rRNA from 1 species